GAUGAACGCUCGCGGCAGGCCUAACACAUGCAAGUCGAGGGGGAAGUUACUUUCGGGUGACUGAGACCGGCGUACGGGUGCGUAACGCGUAUACAAUCUGCCUUUCACUGGGGGAUAGCCCGAAGAAAUUUGGAUUAAUACCCCAUAGUAUAUAGGGACGGCAUCGUUUUUAUAUUAAAGCUUAGGUGGUGAAAGAUGAGUAUGCGUUCUAUUAGCUAGUUGGAGAGGUAACGGCUCCCCAAGGCGAUGAUAGAUAGGGGUUCUGAGAGGGAUGUCCCCCACACUGGUACUGAGAUACGGACCAGACUCCUACGGGAGGCAGCAGUGAGGAAUAUUGGACAAUGGUCGGAAGACUGAUCCAGCCAUGCCGCGUGCAGGAUGAAGGUCUUAUGGAUUGUAAACUGCUUUUGGAAGGGAAGAAUAAGGGCUACGCGUAGUUUGAUGACGGUACCUUACGAAUAAGCAUCGGCUAACUCCGUG
rnacentral:rRNA from 1 species